rnacentral:piRNA from 1 species
UUCCUUUGGUGAUGAACAACAGUAUGGAA